AAAGGGCUUGUAGGCGGUUUGUCGCGUCUGCUGUGAAAAUCCGAGGCUCAACCUCGGACUUGCAGUGGGUACGGGCAGACUAGAGUGUGGUAGGGGAGACUGGAAUUCCUGGUGUAGCGGUGAAAUGCGCAGAUAUCAGGAGGAACACCGAUGGCGAAGGCAGGUCUCUGGGCCACUACUGACGCUGAGAAGCGAAAGCAUGGGGAGCGAACAGGAUUAGAUACCCUGGUAGUCCAUGCCGUAAACGUUGGGCGCUAGGUGUGGGACUCAUUCCACGAGUUCCGUGCCGCAGCUAACGCAUUAAGCGCCCCGCCUGGGGAGUACGGCCGCAAGGCUAAAACUCAAAGGAAUUGACGGGGGCCCGCACAAGCGGCGGAGCAUGCGGAUUAAUUCGAUGCAACGCGAAGAACCUUACCAAGGCUUGACAUAUACCGGUAACACCCAGAGAUGGGUGCCCCUUUUUGGUCGGUAUAUAGGUGGGUGCAUGGUUGUCGUCAGCUCGUGUCGUGAGAUGUUGGGUUAAGUCCCGCAACGAGCGCAACCCUCGUUCUAUGUUGCCAGCACGUAAUGGUGGGGACUCAUGGAAGACUGCCGGGGUCAACUCGGAGGAAGGUGGGGAUGACGUCAAAUCAUCAUGCCCCUUAUGUCUUGGGCUUCACGCAUGCUACAAUGGCCGGUACAAUGGGCUGCGAAACCGCAAGGUGGAGCGAAUCCCAAAAAACCGGUCUCAGUUCGGAUUGGGGUCUGCAACUCGACCCCUUGAAGUCGGAGUCGCU
rnacentral:rRNA from 1 species